UACAGAGGGGGCAAGCGUUGUUCGGAAUUACUGGGCGUAAAGGGCGCGUAGGCGGCCUCUUAAGUCGAACGUGAAAUCCCCGGGCUCAACCCGGGAACUGCGUCCGAUACUGGGAGGCUUGAAUCCGGGAGAGGGAUGUGGAAUUCCAGGUGUAGCGGUGAAAUGCGCAGAUAUCAGGAAGAACACCCGUGGCGAAAGCGGCUCUCUGGAACGGUACUGACGCUGAGACGCGAAAGCGUGGGGAGCGAACAGG
rnacentral:rRNA from 1 species